AAAAGAUUAAGAAAUAGAAAUAGCUUCUAACUAAAUUCUAAAGCGGUUAAAUUCCGUUUAUCUUUUA
rnacentral:tRNA from 1 species